rnacentral:rRNA from 1 species
GUAGGUGGCAAGCGUUGUCCGGAAUUAUUGGGCGUAAAGCGCGCGCAGGCGGUUCUUUAAGUCUGAUGUGAAAGCCCACGGCUCAACCGUGGAGGGUCAUUGGAAACUGGAGAACUUGAGUACAGAAGAGGAAAGCGGAAUUCCACGUGUAGCGGUGAAAUGCGUAGAGAUGUGGAGGAACACCAGUGGCGAAGGCGGCUUUCUGGUCUGUAACUGACGCUGAGGCGCGAAAGCGUGGGGAGCAAACAGGAUUAGAUACCCGUGGUAGUCCACGCCGUGAACGAUGAGUGCUAAGUGUUAGGGGGUUUUCCGCCCCUUAGUGCUGCAGCUAACGCAUUAAGCACUCCGCCUGGGAGUACGGCCGCAAGGCUG